GAUGGAGGUGUUGGGAACAGCCCCAGAGCAUGAGGAUGUGGGGCACAAGGAGUUCCCCAGCUCUGAUCCAGCCUUGGGACUGCUGGCUGUUCAUGCAGCUGGCAGGGAUGUGGUCCUGCUGCAGCCCAGGGGGCUCUUGCAGCUGUGCAGCACUGCAGAGUGUGCAGCCCCCUGCCUUUAGCUGCAGGAACAACUCAAAACUUCAGAGGAGAUAGAACUGAGGGUGAGGGCAGAGCUAGGAGCAUCUCCACCUGCAUGCAGCCUGAAGGGUGUUCACAGGGAUCGGCACUAAGGUGAUGCAGGCUGCAUCCCUGAUUUGUGUGGGCAGCUGGAGGCAGCAACUGCUGCUCCCUGAGCCAGCAGCCAUCAGGGUAAAACAACUUCCUCCAAACAGAAGCCCCAGCUGCUUUGUCCCCAGGCUCCCAGUAACAGGGGGAGUGAACCCCUGCACCCCAGCCAGCAUCCGCACUGGGUAAUUACGUUGUCUCCCUAAAUUCCCCCUGCAGUUUCAAGUGGAUGUGGGAUUCUCCUUCACUUCCAGUCCUAAUCUGUUGCGUAGCAUGGCUGUGCACCGCUGCGCGGUUGCUGCCUUCUAGCCCAGAGGUGGCUGCAUUGCAGUGGUGGGUGAGUGACUCCUGCUUUUGUUUCUAGCUCAUGAGACACUUUGAGGCCCCACAGGGUGCUGGGGAGCUGUGGCUAGGGCACGCCGGGCUGGCCGUGCAGCAGGGCAGAUCCCAGGCUGGUGCUGUUUCCAGCAGGUCCCAACAGACCCUGCGUCUCCUCUCUGCUCUCUCUCUGCAGCCUGCGGGGAGCAUAUCGCUGGAGCAGUGCCUGACCCCACAUCUGUCCCAAACACCUCUCACUGCAUCCCUCUUCUUCCCAUCCUGGGCAGGCAGACUGUCCUGAAACAGGAAAGUGCUGAGCAGAAGGCAGGUUUCCCCAUUGAAACAUCCCUGGGGACGGGAGGAGGAAACAUUGUGCUGCCAGUGCCCACUGCAGCUCCCAGCUCUCCCAGACCCUAUGAGCAGACAGCAGCCAGUGAGGAUGUGCCGGACGCCAGCC